rnacentral:rRNA from 1 species
GGUCAAGCAAGGAAGAGCAUGAGGUGAAUGCCUUGGCACUGGGAGCCGAUGAAGGACGUGAUAAGCUGCGAAAAGCUUCGGGGAGGCGCACAUAGCCAUUGAGCCGGAGAUAUCCGAAUGGGGGAACCUACUUAAGGAAACCUUAAGUAUCUGUAUGUGAAUCCAUAGCAUACAGAAGGGAAACGCUGUGAACUGAAACAUCUAAGUAGCAGUAGGAGGAGAAAGAAAAAAUCGAUUUCCUGAGUAGCGGCGAGCGAAAAGGGAAGAGGCCAAACCAGGAGACAAUGUUUUCUGGGGUUGUGGACUGUGCAUGGUAAUGAAUGGAGAUAGUUGAAAUGUUUUGGGAAAGCAUACCAAAGAAGGUGAAAGUCCAGUAAACGAAAUUGAAAUUCAGCCAACAGAAUCCAGAGUAC